rnacentral:rRNA from 1 species
UACGUAGGGGGCAAGCGUUGUCCGGAUUUAUUGGGCGUAAAGAGCGUGUAGGCGGCCUGACAGGUCUGCUGUGAAAACUCGAGGCUCAACCUCGAGAUGUCGGCGGAAACCGUCUGGCUAGAGUCCGGAAGAGGAGAGUGGAAUUCCUGGUGUAGCGGUGAAAUGCGCAGAUAUCGGGAGGAACAUCUGUGGCGAAGGCGACACCCUGGACCAGCACUGACACUGAGGCACGAAAGCGUGGGGAGCAAACAGG